rnacentral:rRNA from 1 species
AUUGAACGCUGGCGGCAUGCUUUACACAUGCAAGUCGAACGGCAGCGCGGGCUUCGGCCUGGCGGCGAGUGGCGAACGGGUGAGUAAUGCAUCGGAACGUGCCCAGUAGUGGGGGAUAGCCCGGCGAAAGCCGGAUUAAUACCGCAUACGACCUGAGGGUGAAAGCGGGGGACCGAAAGGCCUCGCGCUAUCUGAGCGGCCGAUGUCGGAUUAGCUAGUUGGUGGGUGAAAGGCUUACCAAGGCGACGAUCCGUAGCUGGUCUGAGAGGACGACCAGCAACACUGGGACUGAGCCACGGCCCAGACUCCUGCGGGAGGCAGCAGUGGGGAAUUUUGGACAAUGGGGGCAACCCUGAUCCAGCCAUGCCGCGUGCGGGAAGAAGGCCUUCGGGUUGUAAACCGCUUUUGUUCGGGAAGAAAUCCUCUGGGCUAAUACCCCGGGGGGAUGACGGUACCGGAAGAAUAAGCACCGGCUACCUACGUG